UACAGAGGGUGCAAGCGUUAAUCGGAAUUACUGGGCGUAAAGCGCACGUAGGCGGAUUUGUAAGUCAGGGGUGAAAUCCCGAGGCUCAACCUCGGAACUGCCUUUGAUACUGCAAAUCUCGAGUCCGGAAGAGGUGAGUGGAAUUCCUAGUGUAGAGGUGAAAUUCGUAGAUAUUAGGAAGAACACCAGUGGCGAAGGCGGCUCACUGGUCCGGUACUGACGCUGAGGUGCGAAAGCGUGGGAGCAAACAGG
rnacentral:rRNA from 1 species